rnacentral:rRNA from 1 species
CAGUCGCCGCGGUAAUACGGAGGGUGCAAGCGUUAAUCGGAAUUACUGGGCGUAAAGCGUGCGUAGGCGGCUUCUUAAGUCGGAUGUGAAAUCCCUGAGCUUAACUUAGGAAUUGCAUUCGAUACUGGGAAGCUAGAGUAUGUGAGAGGAUGGUAGAAUUCCAGGUGUAGCGGUGAAAUGCGUAGAGAUCUGGAGGAAUACCGAUGGCGAAGGCAGCCAUCUGGCCUAAUACUGACGCUGAGGUACGAAAGCAUGGGGAGCAAACAGGAUUAGAUACCCCCGUAGUCCCUGUCUCUUAUAA